rnacentral:misc_RNA from 1 species
GAAAUGCGAUAAGUAAUGUGAAUCGCAGAAUUCAGUGAAUCAUCGAAUCUUUGUACGCACCUUGCGCUCCUUGGUAUUCCUUGGAGCAUGCCUGUUUGAGUAUCAUGAAAUCUUCAAAGUAAAUCUUUUGUUAACUCAAUUGGUUUCUACUUUGGUAUUGGAGGUCUUUGCAGCUUCACACCUGCUCCUCUUUGUUCAUUAGCUGGAUCUCAGUGUUAUGCUUGGUUCCACUCGGCGUGAUAAGUUAUCUAUCGCUGAGGACACUGUAAAAGGUGGCCAAGGUAAAUGCAGAUGAACCGCUUCUAAUAGUCCAUUGACUUGGACAAUACUUUUAUGAUCUGAUCUCAAAUCAGGUAGGACUACCCGCUGAACUUAAGC